UGGUAGUGGUGCUUCUGUGCAAGCCUGCCAGAACUGAAUCCAAAUAUUUUUGUGAUUGAAGAAAAGGUUUGUCUACGCAAGUUAUGCAGGUAGGAGCAAUUGUAUUUAGAGUUUAAUGUAAGGAUAUUAUGCUCAAUUUUUAAAAGCUGUUUUUUCCUGUCAGUACGGUGUGAAGCAGUGUAGAGAGGCAGACAAAUGGAAUGUAGGAGGGGUCUCUCCUGUACCAUGGAUCCCUUGGCCCUGAGCCCUUCUCAGGCUGCAGAAACUGCCUGCAGAUACAAAUGUUGCAGUCCAGUGCUGGUUUUUCUCCUGCUUCCCAUCUUCAGUGCUGUUCCAAAAUAGAUCUGGUGAUUAAAACUGCUGCUGGGCUCUUCUAGCAGAAGUCAGAGCAGGUGGAAAGUGCUACAGAAUUAGAACGUGAGGAAAAGCUUUAGGGGGAAAACUAAGCCACACCACAAUCACAACAGCUUUUUUUUUUUUUUUGGGUAAAUAUUCAAUUACUUUUGUUUUUAUUUGAGGUUUUGUUUGUUUGGGUUUAUUUUUUUUUUUCCCUUACCAGCUAAACAGAAAAAUGAAUUAGGGUUGCUUUCAUGAUGCAGAUAUAAGAAUCUCUAUUUCUUGUCAUUAUUUUGUUGCCAAACUACUUUAUUCGUUUCCCCACAUGCUCCACUGCAACCCAGGGUAUGAUUCUUUCCUUUCAGCAGCUGGAGAGCCAUCUAACCAAGAACCUUAUUUUACAGAGACAUUAGAAGAAGUAGUAUUACAGGAUCUGGGUUAUAAUAAGAUGUUUUAAAGGCUCAAAACUACACCUGAGAGUGCCAGUGCACUUUGCAAGUGCAUCAUAUGGGUUGAUCAUGUUUUUAAAUUCAGUAUCAUUGCAAAAAUGGGGCUUAAAUUUUUUUCUUUCUUCUUAAGAGCUAUCCUCUGCACAAUAAACACAGUUUUUACAGAGCUCUGCACAAUAAACACAAAUGACUCAUUUGCAGUGAAAUACUGUUAAAAAUUACUGUCCUGAUCUUCACCAGUACCACUGAUACAAUGUAAAUUACAGUCAAUGGUUCUGAGUGGAAACACAAAACAAUCUCCCAGCCAAAAUCACAGGAAGGAGAAUGAGGCUCAUUGUUUUCCAGAAGAACACCUAGUUUGCAUUGAAGAGAUUGCUCCUUUAUAUAAAAGGUCAAUUAGCAUAAUCUUUUCUAUAAAUUUCUAUACAGUUCUAUAUAUUUGUCAAGUCCCACAGGAGCUGUAAUAAAUUGUUCCCAGAAACUGGCUGCAUCCAAGCUUGGCUUAACGUUGUGCAUGUUUUCUCCUUGUUUGGUGUAAAUAUUUGCCCCCUUUUUGCAGUCAUUGCUUCAGACCUUUGCUGCUUGGUCAGUUGUUGCUUUAUCUUCUGUUUCACCAGCUCCUACAGACAAACAAAUCAGAUCAGAACCUUUUGAGAUUAUUUAGCACUAAAGACACACAGGCAGUACUUUUUCAGGACCAGCAUGAACAUUCAUGAUGCUCACCUUGACUGUAGAAAUUAUGGAAAAGGUUGUUUCCUUGUAAGAAAAUAACAAAAAACAGAGAUGCUCUCCUCUGGACAAGGUCUGCAUGGAGUGCUGUGUUUGUCAGUGCUACACCCUCAGGACUCAGAGCACCUGGAGAGGUGUGGGGUUAUCUGUACUAUUGUCUUUUAAUACUCUUAAGCUCUAAUAAACAGCAUUUUAAAUCCUA